GCCCCAUGUCUGACCCCUUCCCCCACCCACUCCACUGUCCAUCCCUCCCCCUUAACCCCCCUGUCAUCUGUCUGUCCAUCCCCAUCCACCCCCCAUCUAUCUAUCCCCAUCCACCCCCUCUAUCCUCAUACAUCCCCCAUCUACCCCAUCUAUCUACCCCAUCCACCCCCCAUCUAUCUAUCCCCAUCCACCCCCUCUAUCCUCAUACAUCCCCCAUCUACCCCAUCUAUCUACCCCAUCCACCCCCCAUCUAUCUAUCCCCAUCCACCCCCUCUAUCCUCAUACAUCCCCCAUCUACCCCAUCUAUCUACCCCAUCCACCCCCCAUCUAUCUAUCCCCAUCCACCCCCUCUAUCCUCAUACAUCCCCCAUCUACCCCAUCUAUCUACCCCAUCCACCCCCCAUCUAUCUAUCCCCAUCCACCCCCUCUAUCCUCAUACAUCCCCCAUCUACCCCAUCUAUCUAUCCCCAUCCACCCCCCAUCUAUCUAUCCCCAUCCACCCCCUCUAUCCUCAUACAUCCCCCAUCUACCCCAUCUAUCUACCCCAUCCACCCCCCAUCUAUCUAUCCCCAUCCACCCCCUCUAUCCUCAUACAUCCCCAUCUACCCCAUCUAUCUACCCCAUCCACCCCCCAUCUAUCUAUCCAUCCUCAUCCACCCCCUCUAUCCUCAUACAUCCCCCAUCUACCCCAUCUAUCUACCCCAUCCACCCCCCAUCUAUCUAUCCCCAUCCACCCCCUCUAUCCUCAUACAUCCCCCAUCUACCCCAUCUAUCUACCCCAUCCACCCCCCAUCUAUCUAUCCAUCCCCAUCCACCCCCUCUAUCCUCAUACAUCCCCCAUCUACACCAUCUAUCUACCCCAUCCACCCCCCAUCUAUCUAUCCCCAUCCACCCCCUCUAUCCUCAUACAGCCCCCAUCUACCCCAUCUAUCUACCCCAUCCACCCCCCAUCUAUCUAUCCCCAUCCACCCCCUCUAUCCUCAUACAUCCCCCAUCUACCCCAUCUAUCUACCCCAUCCACCCCCCAUCUAUCUAUCCCCAUCCACCCCCUCUAUCCUCAUACAUCCCCCAUCU
rnacentral:lncRNA from 1 species